CCUGGCCUCUGUCAGCACACACAGCUGCUUACAUAGAGCAAGAUGGAAACUGAGAUAUGGGGAAGAUGGGGAGGGGAAGGAGAGGCAAGAGAAGCAUUAGCGUCUCAGGUUUUUGUACAGUGUUUUUUUACUGUGGGGACAGGAAGCACAGUGAUACAAUCCAAUAUGGCUGCUGUACAAAAACUUCUUCACUGGAGAACGAUUAGUGUGGGGGGCUGCAGGGUGGUGCGGACACUUGUCAGCAAUAAGAUAAGUAGAAUUUGCAAGGAUCUGUCUAUGUCCAGGCACUGUGUGAAAUGGCAAACUUGUUUUUUAAGUUGAGCUUGUCAAUUAUGAACACAACUUCGGGUGAAGUGCAAAACUUACUGUUCUUGGUGAGUAAAAAGUCCAUUAUCCUGGCUAAUUCAAAUUUAGAAUUAAAAAGAAAGGUACUAAUUGCACAUUGAGGGUGAUUUGAGUAGUUAAGAGCUGCUGCUAGCUGAGGCUCAGUCUGGCAAAGGAACCAAACGGACUACUGAAGGCAAGAAAUCAACAUAAAAUGACAUAAAACAUCAGAAACAGGUUUUGUGUAGAAUAAUUCUGCUCUGAAGAAGCUUAUAUGAAACAUCUGACACUUUGCUUGUGAUGAUAAGUAGAAACUGCUACCAGUUAACAUCAAAACUGUGUCAUAUGCUGCAGUUUAAAGAAGAAAAAAAUAAUUGAAAGUCAUUUAAAUCUCUUUUGGCUACAGUAGAUUACUUUUUAAGAUGUUAUGCUUAAAAACACAAUAAAGCAUGAAAAUACCCGACCAGGAAGAUGAGGAAAGAAGCAGCAGGUGUUUUUGUAACAGGCAGAGAGCUCUGUGUUCAUUCAGCCAGGCUCACUUUGGAGCUGGGACCAAAAUCACCGUUUUAGAGUCGGGCCGCACGUCUGAAAUACCAACAGUGAAGGUGCUUCAACCCUCCAAAAAGGAGUGUGACGACAGGACAGACAAGACAAAGAAGACGACUUUGGUGUGUGUUGUCUCUGGUUUCUAUCCAGACCAUGUGAGUGUGUCCUGGCAGAUUGAUGGGUCACUCAUGGCGCAUGGCGUGGUGACGGAUGGUGCUGCCCGACGGGACGGUGAAUAUUACAGCAUCACAAGCAGAAUGAGGGUCUCCACCUCCCAGUGGUCCACACCCUUCAAAAACUUUACCUGUACCGCCGUCUUCUUCAAUGGGACAAACUCUGUUACCUACUCAAACUGGAUCAUAGGAGCUGAUGGAGUGAGAGAAAAAUAUCUACGAAUCACACAAGCUGCCAAACUGUCCUACCUGGUUUUGAUCAUGAAGAGCAGCAUCUAUGGACUCGUGGUGGUGUUCAUGGUGAAGAAGCUUCAGGUUUCAUCUGGAAAAGAAAAGAAGUGAGAGCUGAGCUGAACUAAACCUGAACCGGUCCGAGGGAGAGUUUUUUGCUUUAAACGUAAACUUUCUGACUGUAAGCAAACGGACACGAAGUCCGGCGCCUGCUGAUGAUUCAUUGUGGUCUCUGUGUGGGAUUGUGUUCUGCUUUCUUUCUGAAUUAAAAAGAGUUUGACAGAGA